GCAUUAUCAGAAAGAAAACAGUCUUGCAAAUGUGGUUUAAUAUCCCGAGGCUCCUGUUGUUUUAUUUUAAUUGUUUUUCGUACUUAACAAGUAUUUUGCAAUAGCAAAGGUUGAUCUACUGAUAAAAAUGUUUGCUUAGAGUUUGACUGAAAGAUCUGGCUACGAACCACAAGGUGCUACACUUACUUAGAUGGGCGAACGAAUUGUGCUAAUGAUGCACAGAAAUGCAGCGAGACACAUAAUAGUGUCUCAACCUCAGUCCUGAGCCAGCAGCAACAUCCGAGACAAUCCACCGCCCUCCCGGCAUUGUUUUAACAGGAUACUCACUCUCGAUUGCAACUCCGAGACUGCAGCAUCUCACCUUUCCGCUUCGCACGGUCUAUCCCUCACUGAGUGGGCGCUGUAAUUAUAGUGGCCAUCUCUCUCCACCUUCUCCAGAGGCUUCGGAACUUCCAGGAUCCCAGCCGCCGCUUCUUAUCUGGUGCGGUAUAACCCACACACAGCGGGUCAGAGCAUGCUCAGCGUGUGAAUCAGGGCAAUCGCAACCUCCCAGGCACCCGCCCGUACCGGCACCCCCAGCCUGACUCCAUGCCUCCCCUGUCAAAUGCAGCGAAUGUUCAGCAUCCCAGGAUGGAGCCGGGAGUUCUCAUCUUCCUGCUCUACGUGAUGAUCAUUCACGAACUGGUUUGUGGCUGGAUGGAAUAUCAAAGGCAAGCGUCCAAACCCAAGAAACAAGCCCGUCCCGUCUGGUCUUCCAGUCAUGUGAAAUCUGGAAGUUUAACACACUCCAGAUCUCUGAAUCGUUAUACAAAACGUGAGAAAUUCCGCGAUUGGAAGAAGUCUGGACGCAUAGUCAGAAAAGCCUGAACACAAAAUGCAAAUCAGAACUGAUUAUCAACCUGGGAGUCUAUCAUGUUCUGAAUGUGUGUGUGACUAAGUGAUUCCAAGGAGCUGCCAAUAUCUGCCUUGGUGUGUUGAUGCUAUCUAACAACCUUACAGUGUCAUGUCGUCUCUACAAAGGAAACACAUCAUGUGAUAACAAUAGGAAUGUUAAUGUGUACCUUUUUUGCACAAGAAAUCAACAACUUUGUAUUAUUUAUUGUAAUUCUGUAUGCUGUGAUACGUUAAUAUAUUAUUACAUAUGACAGAGUUGGGGCCAUUAUCAGUAGUGUGAUUUUUCCUUGCCAUUGUUAAACAACAGUGCUUCUUACCACUUUCUGUCAGGAAGCCUUGUGUUCUCAGCACACGAUAUUUCCAGCAUUGUGUUAAUUUGGAGCAUCCCGUUUGAACAUGUGCAACACUGGAAAAGGGUAAGAGAAAUAUCAAAGCCUAAGGACACAUAGGAAUGACAAAUUUGAAAUAAAACUCUUAAGGGACUGCUGACCUCCCAUUUCACACAUUGGUAGUCCACAGUUGAAAGCUUAAAUUCAGUUUAUAUGCUGCCAUGCCAAAUCAGUAUUCAAAUGCAGAGGAAGAAACAAAGUCUCUGCCUAUGAUUGGAAUUCUAUUUUACUCAUAUGUCUUUAAGCAAGGGUGAUUGACAUCCAUAAAUAUGUAGCAUACAUUAAGAUUCACAUCAAACAUGUUUCCUGUUACUGGAAUACAUGUCAACUAGUCUUAAAGAACCACUGAAGGUAACCUUCCGGUCACAAACCUACUAUUAGAAAAUGUCGAACCUUUAGUUCUGAAUACAUAUUCAAAUACUAUUUAUUGUUUUUAAUAAAUGCAUGUUGUUUCUGUUGUAAAAUGUGCAAAAAUGUUUUCUUUAAUUUACAAUAGUGAAUAUUAAAACAUAGAAAUCUAAUGAGGCAGAGAAAUUCACAGUAGCACUGGACUAAAUAUCAAAUUAUUUAGUCAAUAAUUUAUUUGAAAAAUGUUGCCAAACAAUGCAAGAUUCCAAUGACUUCAGUGCUUUUUAAAGAUGAAAAAUGCUAUGUCAGCAGAGUCUUGCAUGAUUUGUGAAAAUGUCACAAAAAAAGCAUCCAAACUUCUACUUUCCAAUAUACCUUUGAUUCUGGAUGUGUAUUCAUGUAAUUAUUAAAGA